rnacentral:lncRNA from 1 species
UUCACAAAAAUAGCCUCCCUAUAAUUUUCAGAUCCGUAGUUUGAAUUAAAAUUGAAAACACCUCAGAUUUAGUUCAUCUCCAUAGAAAACAAAAAAAAAUAGAGAAAAAAAUUCAAAAAACAACACUGUUUUAUUACCUUCUUUAGGUUAUUUUAUUUUCUAUAUUCCAGCUCUAGUUCAAUUUUCUAGUUCAUUUCAAAACCAAAAAUAGUUUGAAUUCUCUGUUCCUGUUAAAUGUUUGAGGUCUCAAAGUAUUUGGAAUCAUUUGGGGAUUACUGUUGGUUAAUCGGAGUCAACUGUGGCUUAAUUGUCUGGGUAUACUGACUUUUGGGGUCAUUCUUGAGUAAUUGGC